UAUAAGAAAGGGAAAUUGACGGAUAUACUAUAAAUAAUUCGAAUCCCUGGACGAUUGGAAACUAAUGACCUAAAUUUCGAAAGAUGUUUGGUACUAUGAUUUGCAAUUUGUACGCCUUAACUUGUUUUGGAAUUCCACUUCCAACUUUCCAUUUCAGCAAUAACAUUUUUCUAGAAAGAUUAAAAUUAGACCAGUUCGUUAGGAUCAUCCCUCUGUUUUCCUUCAUCUAGUCUAGAAAAGGAAAUAGUUCAGUUACAAGAAAAUUUCCUAUUUCGUCAGAAACAGAAGUUUGUCUUGGGCUUUUCCUCCUGUUCUCCUAACCUUCGUUUUUUGAAAAUUGAAGUCAACAUCCUUCCAACUACACUGCUUUCUUUAAUUUCCACUUCCUCCUGCUGAAACAUAGUCUAGACUAAUCAUUAAGUACCAGUGAAGGCCUAGCCUCGACGUCUGAGAGCUUAUUAUCAUAAGAAAGCUCUUGAAACACAGUUGUGCAGCAACCUAUGAGGUGUUAAGGAUAACUUUAGCAUUAUCUGUUCAACUACCAUCUGGAGUCUUUCUCCUCUGACCCGAGGCUGAGGGAUCCUGCUUUCGUGCCUCUCCAAAAUUUGAUCUGCAUUUGAUGGCACGACUCAAAAGUUAGAAUAUCCAAACCCAAGCAUCCAUUAUAUGAUUUAGUAUUCAGCAGUACGGUGGUAGAACAGUUACUUUGACCAUCUGUGCCUUUUGAUUUGUGUCUCAGAUAUUCUUGGAGAAGAAUCCUUAAAAUGUAGCUGACAAGUAAUCUAUUAGUAGUAACUAGCAGUGUUGUCAAAGGCUUAUUUAAGGCGCGCUUAAGCCCUGAAGCUCAUAAAAGCUCAAGGAGGGCGCUUCGCCUUGCUUUAGUUGCGCUUCAGUGUAAGGCAAGGCACUAAGGAGUGCGCCUCAUUGCCCAUGAGUUCUCUCUUGAAUCAAGCAGCACUAAAAAACAACUAUAAUCAGAAAUAAGUGUACUAGCUGCUAAGGGAAACAUUAUAAAUGAAUUUGUUACUUUGUUCUUGAAAUACAUAUAGAUUUUUAUUUAUUUCCUUCAUUGCGCCUUUUUUAACUAAAGCUCACACUUUAAGUGCGCUUUGCGCUUAAAGCCCAAAUAGACCUAGAGCGCUUUUUAGAGCUUUUCGCCCUUGACAACACUGGUAACUAGGUGACUGAAGUUCAUGCAUCCCCAAUUCUUCUCUAAGAAAUUCAGGUAGUUAACAUAAUUGAGACACCAGAUGGCAAGAAAGUUUACCAGCCCAAUUUAAAGAAUGUUUUAAGGGACACCGCUGGUGAGAGCUAGUUCUCUAUUCCAGACUACCACAACGAAAUCUUUGUUUUAACUUUUAAAUAACAUGACAGCACACAGUAAUGACAUGCACUCAUCUUUCUCGCACUUUUUAAGGAAAUAUGCAACCAGUCACAAGUGGCUCCUAAUAGGAACUGUUAACUGCACCUAUUUGCCGUAUAAUUGCUGUUCAGAACUUGGCCUUCCUAGGAAAACUAGCACAUAUCAUGUUGCAAACAAAAAUGUCAAAAUUAGAUCACUAAGAUAACAAUCAUUAUGUGCACUCCCUUGUCCUUGCAAAGAGCCUUCCAAUAAACGAGGAUUUCAUAUAGCUAACUCCAACUAUUACGGGAUUGAGACAUAGUUGAUACGGAACAGUAAAUAAUACCACCAGGUUCCUGCUUGUAUUUGAUGGGUAAUCUGGGAGAAAAAACAGCGAUUCUUUGCAGGAAAACAUGAGAGUGUACAUAGAUUAAAGCAAAGAUGUAUUUUCUCUUUUGCUUUUUUGGUGCAGAAAUCUUGAUGUAAUGGAGCUAGUACACGUAAAUCAUGGCAAAAGUCUCCCUAAUAGCAUUUACAAGAGCUGAUUAUUAGACCUCCUUGACUGUGAAGCAAUGGAGUUGAGUUUUUGUUUUUUGUAAAGCACAGCGUUCAAUUGAUGCAGGUUGCAAUAAGAACCUUGCGAACUGAUAAAAAAGGUGAUCAGGACUGCCCGUAACAUUUGACAUGAUAUAAGGUCUUGUUGACCUUCUGGACCGAAACCAAUUUUCAAUGCAGCAUAAUAAUGAGAAAUGAAGAGCUUGUCAAUGAGACUCUUUAGUUAAAAGACAAUGAAACUCACCCGCAUGUUGAGCAUUUCUUGUGAUGCUUGCAGAAUAUGGAUAAACAAACAGAGCAUAUGUAGCCCAUGUCAAUUGUGUUCUUGUGGCAAAAGCACCUGCAAGGUAGUAGAAACUUCAUCGGAUGAGCAAUAAUAGUUAAUUGAGUGUGAACGGGGCGAAGAGUAAUCCCAAUACUACAUUGGGGUAUGAGCUCAAGGAAUUUGUGUCAAAAUGGACUAGAAAUUGGAGUAAAGAUUUAUUUGGUGUCAGACUGCAGGACUUCAGUUAAUACUUGCAGUUGCUAUUAGUAGGAUAGGUCUCCUGAAUUAAACAUCCCUUUUCCUUUUUGUUGUAAUAGGAUUCCACCGGAUUCUUUUUUAUUCAGUAACAUAACUAACAUGAUUGACAAGAGUGGGUUGCUCUAGUGGUGAGCACCCUCCACUUCCAACCAAGAGGUUGUGAGUUCGAGUCACCCCAAGAGCAAGGUGGGGAGUUCUUGGAAGGAGGGGUGCCGAGGGUCUAUCGGAAACAGCCUCUCUACCGCAAGGUAGGGGUAAGGUCUGCGUACACACUACCCUCCCCAUAUCCCACUUGUGGGAUUAUACUGGGUGGUGGUGGUUGUAUAACUAACAUGAUUGAAAGAGAAACUGGUCACCACCAUCUAAAGUGGCUUAGAUAGAAAAUUCCCAUUCAUCAGUUUCUCACUUCUAGUUAUUACCUAUGUUGCGUGGACUCUUCAAAUCCCUGCCGCACCCGUGUCGACACGACAUGAGUGUGGGUGUGGGAUCCAUAUCGGAUUUGGUCAACUUACCUUGGGUACUUUGACUACGUCUAUGAUGGAGAAGUAUAGAUUGAUUGGGUAUUUGGUUUGAUUUUUGUGUUUAUAUAUUUUUGUUUUUGGUUAAAGUUUUCAUUAAUAACCAAAAAGUAUUUACGAAUCGAUCAGACUUUAUACUCAGUCUGAUUUUUCUCUAAACAUUUAACUCUCUGUAUAUCCUCCUACUUACUGACUAUUAACUCUAACUACCUAGGAAAUUUACAUUGUUGGAGCAUCCUCUUAGUAGUACUACUAGCUCGAACAUGACAAAUAUAAGCAAUCUCUCUAGCCAUUGUGUCCUCUGUAGUCUCCUUUUGCUCAAAAAUCCUUUUGUUUCUUUCCGUCCAGAUUGCAUACACAUAUUCUGUGUAUAUCAUCUUUACUAUUCUUGAUUUGGCAGUCUUCCCUUUGGUGUUCUGUUCUAUCCAGUGCUGCAUCUGGCUCCAUGUAUUCAAAUUUCUCCAGGUGAUCUGUAUCCAUUGCAUAAGCUUCUGCCAUAUAUAUCUUCCUAUUGGGCAUUCAGCAAAUAAAUGAUCUCUUGUUUCUGCUACUGUUUUGCACAUGACACAUCGACUAUCAACUUGAAUUCCCCAUUUUUCUAAUCUUGUAGCUGUUAGUAAUCUGUUCUGCUGCUGCAACCAAGUGAUAAACAUUGCCUUUGGUCUUGCUUCAUUGUUACACAUGAUGUUUUUCCAUGUUACUUUAGGCAGCUCCCCAACCAUUUUCAGAUAGACAUUCCUGAUCAUGCUUUUAUUCUUCAUAGCUUCUGGCUGCACAUAUCCUAGAUUCUCUCUUGCCUUGAGUAUCUUCUUGACCAUCCAACUAGCUUGUAGAGGAAUAGUCAUACUCUCCAAUGUUUGAGCUUUUAUGUAGUAUUCAUGAAUCCACUUAAUCCAUAGAGUAUCUUUUUUGUUCUUCAAGUCCCAGCAAGUUCUAAUUAUGGCAGCUUUGUUCCACAACUUGAGGUUAGUGAGAUUCAACUCUCCUGCUGCUAUAGGUAAACACAUCCUGCUCCACGCUACCAAUGAUUUCUUGGUAAUUUCAUUGGUUCCUGACCAGAUAUAACUUCUACAAUAUCCUUCAAUUGCUUUCAUCACCUUAGCAGGAAUAAUGAAUAAUUGUGCCCAAUAUGACUGAAUGCCAAACAAUACUGAUUUCACCAACUGUACUCUCCCUGCGUAUGAUAAUUUCUUUGUAGUCCAUGAGGAUAUUCUUGCUGUGAUCUUGUUGAUUAGGGGUUGUCAUUCCACCAGUUUUAGUUUUCUAGUGGCUAAUGGAAUCCCUAAAUACUUGAAUGGCAGUUCUCCUUCCCUGUAGCCAAGAACUUGUUGAAUUUCCUGCUUGUUCACCUCUGAAACUCCUCCAUAGUAUAUUGUACUCUUGGAUUGACUAGCUAUAAGCCCUGAAGCUUUUGUGAAUACCUUGAACUUUUCCUGUAACAGCUUCACUGAAAUUGUUUCACCCUUAGCAAACAUUAAGAGGUCAUCUGCAAAGCACAGAUGAGUGAUGCUAAGUUUGGAAUAAUUUGGGUGAAAUUUGAAGUACUUCUCCUCUUUCAGUGCAUUAAGGUUCCUGCUUAGAUACUCCAUAACCACAGCAAACAGAAAUGGUGACAUUGGGUCUCCUUGACGAAGCCCUCUAGCAGCAUCAAUAGGUGGGGUAGGCUCACCAUUUAUCAUGAUGGAGUAAUUUACAGUAGUAAUACAUUCCAUCACCCAAUUAAUGAAUUUUUGUGGAAAUUUUAGUUCUGUUAACAUUUGCUUCUGUUUAUAUUAUAUAUAUAUAUAGUUGUAUAAGCUAUAAAGUAUGAGAAUGCUUUGCUAUUAUGCAAGAUAUCUUAUGAAUAAAAUAUUAAAUCUUUUCAAUUUUAGUUCAGUAACCUUAAUCAAUCGAAUAUAUAUAUAUAUAUAUAUAUAUAUAUUGGCAUUAUCCCAACACCCAUAUCUGCACUUAGAUCCAUAUCCCCGAAUCCUAAAUUUUGUGAGAUGAGGAAUCCGACCUCUAGAUCCUCACCCGGAUCGGAUACCCGCACACGAGCCCGAGGAACAUAGGUUAUUACUGUAAGUGUUUCUGGACCCUACUUUAAGUAAGGUUUCCAAACCUUUCAAAAGAAAGAGGUAUAUGCUGUUUUGUGACACACUCUCAAUGAUAUGCAUUCAAGUUCUGGUUAAAACUGCAAAAGUUGAAAUUCUGAUUUCCACUACUUAGUAUGUACUGGUUUAAAUGUUAACUGUUCAUGUUUCUUACUUUCAGAUGAGUAAGGUUCUAUCAGACAGAAGUCAAAAGAAAAGCACUCAUGACAAUUAUAAAUAAUGUGUUAAAAUGAAAUCAUCGGCCACUACAGGCAAUGACAAUGAUAGGCAAAAACAAAGAUAGUACAUCAUAGUCUAAGUGUGUGCUUGCUUUGCACAUCAGCUCAUCAUGAGAGAAAUAAUUUAUUAUUAACUAAAAGACAUGCUGAAGCACUUACGAUGCACGAAAGUCAACUCCCACAGGCCUGGGAAGUUGCAAAAAGGCACGAGAAUGCAAAUCUGUCGCAAAAACCGUCUGCAUUUUGAAAAGGCCCAUCAGUAUUUUCAAA
rnacentral:lncRNA from 1 species